GGGUUGUGAGGUUAAGCGACUAAGCGUACACGGUGGAUGCCCUGGCAGUCAGAGGCGAUGAAGGACGUGCUAAUCUGCGAUAAGCGUCGGUAAGGUGAUAUGAACCGUUAUAACCGGCGAUUUCCGAAUGGGGAAACCCAGUGUGUUUCGACACACUAUCAUUAACUGAAUCCAUAGGUUAAUGAGGCGAACCGGGGGAACUGAAACAUCUAAGUACCCCGAGGAAAAGAAAUCAACCGAGAUUCCCCCAGUAGCGGCGAGCGAACGGGGAGCAGCCCAGAGCCUGAAUCAGUGUGUGUGUUAGUGGAAGCGUCUGGAAAGGCGCGCGAUACAGGGUGACAGCCCCGUACACAAAAAUGCACAUGCUGUGAGCUCGAUGAGUAGGGCGGGACACGUGGUAUCCUGUCUGAAUAUGGGGGGACCAUCCUCCAAGGCUAAAUACUCCUGACUGACCGAUAGUGAACCAGUACCGUGAGGGAAAGGCGAAAAGAACCCCGGCGAGGGGAGUGAAAAAGAACCUGAAACCGUGUACGUACAAGCAGUGGGAGCACGCUUAGGCGUGUGACUGCGUACCUUUUGUAUAAUGGGUCAGCGACUUAUAUUCUGUAGCAAGGUUAACCGAAUAGGGGAGCCGAAGGGAAACCGAGUCUUAACUGGGCGUUAAGUUGCAGGGUAUAGACCCGAAACCCGGUGAUCUAGCCAUGGGCAGGUUGAAGGUUGGGUAACACUAACUGGAGGACCGAACCGACUAAUGUUGAAAAAUUAGCGGAUGACUUGUGGCUGGGGGUGAAAGGCCAAUCAAACCGGGAGAUAGCUGGUUCUCCCCGAAAGCUAUUUAGGUAGCGCCUCGUGAAUUCAUCUCCGGGGGUAGAGCACUGUUUCGGCAAGGGGGUCAUCCCGACUUACCAACCCGAUGCAAACUGCGAAUACCGGAGAAUGUUAUCACGGGAGACACACGGCGGGUGCUAACGUCCGUCGUGAAGAGGGAAACAACCCAGACCGCCAGCUAAGGUCCCAAAGUCAUGGUUAAGUGGGAAACGAUGUGGGAAGGCCCAGACAGCCAGGAUGUUGGCUUAGAAGCAGCCAUCAUUUAAAGAAAGCGUAAUAGCUCACUGGUCGAGUCGGCCUGCGCGGAAGAUGUAACGGGGCUAAACCAUGCACCGAAGCUGCGGCAGCGACGCUUAUGCGUUGUUGGGUAGGGGAGCGUUCUGUAAGCCUGUGAAGGUGUGCUGUGAGGCAUGCUGGAGGUAUCAGAAGUGCGAAUGCUGACAUAAGUAACGAUAAAGCGGGUGAAAAGCCCGCUCGCCGGAAGACCAAGGGUUCCUGUCCAACGUUAAUCGGGGCAGGGUGAGUCGACCCCUAAGGCGAGGCCGAAAGGCGUAGUCGAUGGGAAACAGGUUAAUAUUCCUGUACUUGGUGUUACUGCGAAGGGGGGACGGAGAAGGCUAUGUUGGCCGGGCGACGGUUGUCCCGGUUUAAGCGUGUAGGCUGGUUUUCCAGGCAAAUCCGGAAAAUCAAGGCUGAGGCGUGAUGACGAGGCACUACGGUGCUGAAGCAACAAAUGCCCUGCUUCCAGGAAAAGCCUCUAAGCAUCAGGUAACAUCAAAUCGUACCCCAAACCGACACAGGUGGUCAGGUAGAGAAUACCAAGGCGCUUGAGAGAACUCGGGUGAAGGAACUAGGCAAAAUGGUGCCGUAACUUCGGGAGAAGGCACGCUGAUAUGUAGGUGAAGUCCCUUGCGGAUGGAGCUGAAAUCAGUCGAAGAUACCAGCUGGCUGCAACUGUUUAUUAAAAACACAGCACUGUGCAAACACGAAAGUGGACGUAUACGGUGUGACGCCUGCCCGGUGCCGGAAGGUUAAUUGAUGGGGUCAGCGCAAGCGAAGCUCUUGAUCGAAGCCCCGGUAAACGGCGGCCGUAACUAUAACGGUCCUAAGGUAGCGAAAUUCCUUGUCGGGUAAGUUCCGACCUGCACGAAUGGCGUAAUGAUGGCCAGGCUGUCUCCACCCGAGACUCAGUGAAAUUGAACUCGCUGUGAAGAUGCAGUGUACCCGCGGCAAGACGGAAAGACCCCGUGAACCUUUACUAUAGCUUGACACUGAACAUUGAGCCUUGAUGUGUAGGAUAGGUGGGAGGCUUUGAAGUGUGGACGCCAGUCUGCAUGGAGCCGACCUUGAAAUACCACCCUUUAAUGUUUGAUGUUCUAACGUUGACCCGUGAUCCGGGUUGCGGACAGUGUCUGGUGGGUAGUUUGACUGGGGCGGUCUCCUCCUAAAGAGUAACGGAGGAGCACGAAGGUUGGCUAAUCCUGGUCGGACAUCAGGAGGUUAGUGCAAUGGCAUAAGCCAGCUUGACUGCGAGCGUGACGGCGCGAGCAGGUGCGAAAGCAGGUCAUAGUGAUCCGGUGGUUCUGAAUGGAAGGGCCAUCGCUCAACGGAUAAAAGGUACUCCGGGGAUAACAGGCUGAUACCGCCCAAGAGUUCAUAUCGACGGCGGUGUUUGGCACCUCGAUGUCGGCUCAUCACAUCCUGGGGCUGAAGUAGGUCCCAAGGGUAUGGCUGUUCGCCAUUUAAAGUGGUACGCGAGCUGGGUUUAGAACGUCGUGAGACAGUUCGGUCCCUAUCUGCCGUGGGCGCUGGAGAAUUGAGGGGGGCUGCUCCUAGUACGAGAGGACCGGAGUGGACGCAUCACUGGUGUUCGGGUUGUCAUGCCAAUGGCACUGCCCGGUAGCUAAAUGCGGAAGAGAUAAGUGCUGAAAGCAUCUAAGCACGAAACUUGCCCCGAGAUGAGGGUUGCCAGCACCAGAUGCCC
rnacentral:rRNA from 1 species